UACGAGGGGUCCUAGCGUUGUUCGGAAUCAUUGGGCGUAAAGAGCUCGUAGGUGGCUUAGUAAGUCAGGUGUGAAAGCCCAGGGCUCAACCCUGGAAGUGCACUUGAAACUGCAUAGCUUGAGUACGGUAGAGGUAAGCGGAAUUCCUGGUGUAGUGGUGAAAUGCGUAGAUAUCCGGAGGAACACCGGUGGCGAAGGCGGCUUCCUGGACCGACACUGACGCUGAGGCGCGAAAGCUAGGGGAGCAAACGGG
rnacentral:rRNA from 1 species